ACGCUGGCGGCGCGCCUAACACAUGCAAGUCGAACGAGCGAGAGAGAGCUUGCUUUCUCGAGCGAGUGGCGAACGGGUGAGUAACGCGUGAGGAACCUGCCUCAAAGAGGGGGACAACAGUUGGAAACGACUGCUAAUACCGCAUACAGCCUCAGGGUGAAAGAAGCGAUUCGCUAUCAGAUGUGCCCAAACGGGAUUAGCUAGUAGGUGAGGUAAAGGCUCACCUAGGCGACGAUCUCUAGCUGGUCUGAGAGGAUGAUCAGCCACAUUGGGACUGAGACACGGCCCAGACUCCUACGGGAGGCAGCAGUAGGGAAUAUUGCACAAUGGAGGAAACUCUGAUGCAGCCAUGCCGCGUGUGUGAAGAAGGCCUUCGGGUUGUAAAGCACUUUCGGAGGGGAGGAAGAAAAUGACGUUACCCUCAGAAGAAGCACCGGCUAACUCCGUG
rnacentral:rRNA from 1 species